CUGGGCAGCUCUAUCACUUCUCCAGAUGAGGUUACGCCUCCAUGAAGAUAGUUAAGGACCUUUGAAGACUCCAAUUAGCAUCGGUUGUACACCAGAAAUUGCCUUUCUAUUUCAGUUCAAGAAUUUAUCCCAUAUAUGUGCAUUUUGCCAACUUUUACCUCUUUGUGUCCCUUGUCUAGACACCAAUUAGCUCCAAUCAAGAUUACCUUAGCAUCAACCAUAUUGUUUGAGCAAACACCCAGAGUAAGUUAGAAAAGGCUAUAACUAGUUUCCUUUUGUGAUCCGUCAAAAUUCUACUUCUGGCAAGGCCUAGGUAUCUUUUACUACGUCCAUCAGUUUUGAGUUUCAGGUAACCAUUAGGUGGAUUGAGCCAUUUGACUGGGAUGAUGUUUAGAGCAGGUUUGAUGUUUUCCAUCAAAAAGUAAACUUGUUUACAAGUGGAAGGGCUAGGAAGAACG
rnacentral:lncRNA from 1 species